rnacentral:lncRNA from 1 species
AUGGCCUCUUGUUGCGGAGCAUGGGCUCUGGGGCACUCAGGCUCAACAGCUGCGGUGCAUGGGCUUAGUUACCUAGAGACGUGUGGGAUCUUCCUGGACCAGGGAUCAAACCCGUGUCGCCUGCAUUGUCAAGGCGGAUUCUUAACCACUGGACCACCAGGGAAGCCCACAAAGAGCUGUUUCGAUCAUGUGCUCAUUCAAGAGACAUUUGAAUUGUGCCAGGCCCUGGACAUAAGGAGGCGUGAUGGCGGCAAUAACCAGGCUACACCACCAGGUGGCGACGGUGCUCCAACGUUAGCCUCCUCAAGCAUCUGCCUUCCAGCCGCUCUUCCCGGAAUCAGCGACUGGGAGGAGCUGCGGGUCUCCGGGAGCCCCCCACCGCUCCCUGGCUUCCAGCUGCAUUCAAGGCCGUCCUGCCUGCUCCAGUGCAGGCGAAGCUGUGGCUCCCUUUUCAGGCUGCAAUUCCUAGCAGCCUAGUUUGAAAGUGUGUUUCGUGUACCACAAAGCAGGGGCACCAAAAGGGGAAACAAAAAGAGGAGGAUUCAGGUGGGUUAUCGGUGUAUACUUUUUAAAAUAAAUACGUCAGAGUAGUCAUGGAAGAACAACUGAUCUUUGCUGGGUCUCUCUGUACUUCAUUCGUAGUUUAUUUUGGAUGACACGGACUGGAAUCCAUCUCAGUCUUUUCAGUAUCUAAUCCCUUCCCUCUUGGGUGGUCCUGACCAAAUGCUAGACCCUAACCAAGAAAUAAGAAGGCCUAUGUUUCAAUCCUAGCUCUGCCCCUAACUAGCUGAGUGCCUUUCUGGACUUCAGAGGUCUAUUUUCUUUCAUUUGACCUAGACCUGCUAGGUCUAGAAAGAACCAGACAGCUUGUGAUUUCUCUCCUGGGACAGUGAUCUCUCUCUUCUCCUGUCUCUAGAAAGGGACCUGCUCCUGCUGCAGGAGAAGCAUCUCCAUCUUGGAGAUGUGCAUGGAGAUGGAGGACUCCUCCCGUAAUCAUCUGGAGGGCAACGACCCCAAGAAGGAGGUGGGCCACGGUUUCUGCUUCUCUUUUCACCAUUUGAGGGUUCCGCUCUUCCUCCGCAGCCACAGUGAUUUCCCGUCUAGCUCUCAGACAGCAUCAGCUAGAUCUCCAGGAUCUUCAGACUCAACAAAAGCCAAGCCAGGAGGGUCACGCUUUGGAGUGGUCUAUAAUUAGCCAAAGUGAAAGUCACUCAGUCGUGUCUGACUCUUUGUGACCCCAUGGACUGUACAGUCCAUGGAAUUCUCCAGGCCAGAAUACUGGAGUAGGUAGCCUUUCCCUUCUCCAGGGGAUCUUCCCAACCCAGGGAUUGAAGCCAGGUCUUCCACAUUGCAGGAGGAUUCUUUACCAGCUGAGCCCCAAGGGAAGCCCAUAAGAGCCAGAAGCUUGUUCCAAUUCGGUCUUGUUACCACUGUUUCCAAGAUUACCUGCAUUAACUUGACAGUCCAAUGGACCAGAAUCACGAAGUCCUUUGAGAUCUUGGGUUAAAAAUGGGGAGGUUCAAAUCCACACACCCUAGGCUGAGUCUUCCUGGUCCCCUCCCUCCUGGUACCCCUGGAUGCUCUCGCACCCCAGGCAUCCAUGAAAUUGGCUGCAGAGGUCUUACUUAAUAAAGAAUGGGCUUGGACAGCACCCCCAUCCCUCUGACCCAGGACUCCUCUCCCUUCCUUGAACCCCUGUUCUCACCUUUACUGACACCCCGAGGAAUGCCCUUCUUUUCCAGGGAAUUCAUUUAUUCUUGUAAAAAUGAAUAAUAUAAUUAUUGAAAUCUAAAACUCAAUUGAUGAGUUAAAUUACAGAUGAAUUAAAUUGCCCAACUGAAGAGACAAUGCACCGGAGAAAUAUGCCAGAAAAUUCUUUAGAAUGUAACAGUAAGACAGAUGUUUAUUGUACUUAUACUGAUGAGGAAAGUAGGAAAGAGGUAGAAAGAGAAAAGAUACAGAAUAUAAUGAAAAGGUCUCACUACAUCAAAUUUGAGUCCCCAAAGGAAAGAAUAGAGAAAAUGGAAGAAAUUUAAUUUUUAAAGGAAGAGUGCCUGAUGAAAAACUUGAAUCCACAAAAUCAAGAAAACCCAUGAAUCCUAAACAGAGUAAAUGAGAAGAAAGCCACAGCUGGGCACAUAAUGUGGGCAGAAUACCAAAGACGGAGGAUCUAGGGCUCAUUCUGGAUUGAAAGUCAGAGCACUUAACACAGGGACAAUUUAACAGCUGUUCACCAGCAACAAUGGGAGACUUAAGACCAGAGGAGGCUGUCCACAAAGUAUAGAUGGUCAAGUUGGAAUGUGUAACUGGCAAAACCACCUUGCAAGAAUGAGAGUGAAAGGAAGAGAAUCACAGAUAAACAAAAACAGUGAGUUCCCCACCAAGAAAACUGAACUAUAUGAACUUCUAAAGGAUACACUUCAAAAGCACGGGAAAGAAUCCCAGAAGGUCAGUAAUGCAACAGGGCCUGGGGACCAAGCACAGUGGUCAAUACACAGAUGUGAGUGUGGCAACAGGGUAGGUGGGCAUUGCUGGCUCACAUGCCCCCUCUAGACUGUGUGCUCCAGAGACCAGGGACCAUGAACGCAUCACAGACAGACUCUGAGAGUGCCCCACAGCCUCACAAGACUUCCACUCAGAACCUGCGCCACCCUGUUCCUUAGAGACUGUUAGGAGUGUUAUUUUCAGAGAGAAGACUAGUCAGGUUAACGAAGGUAGCUCUGACAUCUGUCUUUCAAUAUAUUCUUGUAAGUGGUGUGUUUCAUAUUAUUGCCAUCUUUGGUGUUUUUCAAAUACAAACCAAAAAAAGUGAUUUUUAUAUUGAAACCAAAAGCAAUGAAUCUUGAGAUCCAACCAUUUGAUGCUUAUAUUCAUAACAAACACCCAUGGCUUCAGGUUACAAAAAAACAAAGGCUUUGAGUUGGCUGCCAAAGCAAAGCCAUCCUCCUCAGUCUAGUUUUAGUGGUUUUUCUUAAAGACAUCUUGGGACUUUCCUGGUGGUCCAGUGUUUAAGAAUCCAUGCUUCCAGUGCAGGGGACCCAGAUUCGAUUCUUCGUUGGGAAACUAAGAUCCUCCAUGCUGCAUGACUUGGCAAAAAAAGAGACAAUUUCAUUAUUUUUGAAAUUGGUUCACUGUAAAAAAUAAAAACAGGAUGGUAAUGCUGUUAAGUGUCAUUGUCCUUCCCACCCUUCUUCCUAAUCACACAUGUCCUUCUGAAGAGAGAGCCUCUGUUAAGUUUGUCGUAUCCCUUUCUGGACACUUUUCUAUGUACUUAUAAUAUAUAAUAUCUGGUACAUAUGAAUAUGGAUGUGUGUCAUUUCUAUUUGUAUAUAUACACACACUUAUAUCUUUGUAUAUGUAGGUUGUAUAUAAGUAUCUACCUAUAUAGUACAUGUAUGUAUAUAUACAUAUUACACUAAAUAUAUGCAUAUAUACAUGCAUCCAUAUCUGUAUGUCUACAUUUAUCUCUCUCUAUAUAUAUACACACUUAUAAAAUUAACAAUUUUUAUAAUUAAAUUUUCUUUAUUAUUAAUUGAAGGAUAAUUGUUUUACAAUAUUG